UACAGUUGCUUGUUCAAGAUCUACCCAGUGUCAGAGGAAGAGGGGUUAAUUCUCAUUCAGAGGAACGCAGACAAAAGCCAGCAAACUUUAUUGGACUUUUCCCAACUUGCCUCCUCAUUCUAGGUAAAGAAGUAACUUCUUUAUAUGUAUGUUCUGUAAAAGAUCCUCAAAGUAACCACUAACCAGAGGAAACAAGCCUGGGAUGGACACCCUUGUUACCUGCUAUUUGCAAGAGUAAAGCUACAAAAAAGUAACAGAAUGAAAAAGAAGAGCAAGAACUGUGGCUCUAGAUAAAGAAUUCAACAAGUCAGACUCUGAAACAGGCACUCCGAUGAAAUGGCCUAAACCUAACCCCAGGUUACCAUUGCCCCCACCCCCACCCUGUUAUUCCCAAAAUAGUAAAAAGGAAACGGUCACAAGCUCACAAUUGUUUGGUUCUCACCAAUGUUAACAAAGAAAAACAAAAUAAACCAAGGAAUACUUGAGGGGGUGCCUCAAGAUAUUCAAUCA